rnacentral:lncRNA from 1 species
GCCAGAGAGCCCUGUGUUUCCAUCGUUCAGUAGGUUGUCAGCAUACCUCAUUCGCAGCCUUGCCAGACACAGCAAUGGUCCCACAUUCACUAGAGAAAACCAGCCCGGGACCUGAGCUUCCUGCCAAACCCUCGUCAGCUUUUGCCUUCCCUUGGUUUGAUUUCAAGGCGGGAUUGCUGCGGUUUCUGCGGUAAAGAAGAAGAGAAAUACCUUGGAAUGCACAAAACACAAAGAGCAGCCAGGCCCAUGCAAGUGCUGCAGAGACGCCGGCUGAAUGACCAGUCCACCUGGUAAAGUAGCUGA